rnacentral:rRNA from 1 species
AGUGAACGCUGGCGGUAGGCCUAACACAUGCAAGUCGAACGGCAGCACAGUAAGAGCUUGCUCUUACGGGUGGCGAGUGGCGGACGGGUGAGGAAUACAUCGGAAUCUACUUUUUCGUGGGGGAUAACGUAGGGAAACUUACGCUAAUACCGCAUACGACCUACGGGUGAAAGCAGGGGAUCUUCGGACCUUGCGCGAUUGAAUGAGCCGAUGUCGGAUUAGCUAGUUGGCGGGGUAAAGGCCCACCAAGGCGACGAUCCGUAGCUGGUCUGAGAGGAUGGUCAGCCACACUGGAACUGAGACACGGUCCAGACUCCUACGGGAGGCAGAAGUGGGGAAUAUUGGACAAUGGGCGCAAGCCUGAUCCAGCCAUACCGCGUGGGUGAAGAAGGCCUUCGGGUUGUAAAGCCCUUUUGUUGGGAAAGAAAAGCAGCAGGUUAAUACCCCGCUGUUCUGACGGUACCCAAAGAAUAAGCACCGGCUAACUUCGU